GCGGGGCUAGGAAAAUUGCUGCCUGGGUCGGCUGGGCCUGUGGGCCUGCGUCCGACAGCGCGCGGCCGUGCUUUCUAAGCGGGCUCGGCAGCACCAGACUUCACCGGCCCGGCGCGGGGCUCACAAGUGCUCGCACUCCCUGCGGCCGGCGCGCUGACCGGAGCCUCUGGGUCUCGCACGCAGCAGCUGCAGACGCUGCCCGGCGCGGUGGGGCUGUGAGCAAAACGGCCCGCCGGUGUGGUUGCCCAGACUGUGCUGGGCCCUCCUAGGUGGAUGGCCCUGCCCCAGCCUAACUUCUGUACCCCAGCAUAACCUCCAAAGUAACAGCCGUGCCCUGGGAGCCUGUUCAACACUGAACAUAUCCCACAAUAACACUGUUCCAGCGUCGCUGGUAAAAAGCAGAAAUGGCUUCGCUGGAGGCAUCGACAAAUCUAAUGCAGUAACCUCAUUUUACAGAAGAGAACUCUAAGAGGAUAACUAACUUGGCCAAGAUCACAUGAUGUUUCUGGAUGAGAUUAGCAUUCAAAUUCGUGGACUCAUUAAAGUAGAUGGCUCUCUCCAAUAUGGGUGGGCAUCAUCCAAUCUGUUGAAGGCGUGAAGAGAACAAGAGAAGGAGGAAGGAAGAAUUCACCUUUUUUCUUGCUGCCCACCUGCUUGGGCUGGGACAUUGCAUCUCACCUUCUCCAGCCUUUGGAUGAGGAUUUACACCCUGGUUCUCAGGCCUUCAGGCUCUAACUGGAGCUACACUAUCAACUUUCCUGGGCCUCCAGAUUGCAGAUGGUGGAUCACGGUACUUUUUAGCCUCCAUCAUAAUAUGAGAAAAAAGAGGCACAGUGAAGCUAAAUAUAUUGGCUAAAGAUCACAAAGCUAAUAUCGCUCUUUUCUCUGAAAUUUGCCUGGGGCCGCAGCAUAAAUCUACAGUUACAACCAUGAAGGUAGAAGUUGCUCAUUAAUUCAGAGGGCAGGAACUUGUGAACAUAACUGUUAGUUGAAAUUUUUCAAGAUGAAAAGUUGCUAAAGAAAGAGAAAGGGAAGCGGUUUGCUCCAGUAUUCCUCUUUCCACCUUCCCACUGACUGGGAAGCGGCGGUUAGCAGAGCCACAGUCUUGGAUUAGAGAUAAGAGGGACAUGUUGAGGAAGGUGGAGUCUCCCCCACAGCCCUGGACCAGGCUCCAGUGCCAACAAAAGCCAAGAAGAACCUCUGGAGCAAUCAGUCUAAAUUAGUUGAUAACGUCUUCCAGGAGACCUACGGCCAUCCUACUGAUAUGAACCAGAUCAUACCUGCCCUGAUGGGAUGCCAGAGAAAGACUGCUGCAAGGGAUCCUCUGGAAACAGAACAGAGGGAAGAAGAUACCUUCCCUGAAGCCCAGAUGUUCCAGAAGCCUGCGCCUCAUUCACAAAGUCACCCCAAAAAUGCCCUAGAGUUUGGAGUUUUGAAGAAGCGGGAAGAAGGCCUGAGUAAGGGCCUGGGAACCAAGUUAGAUCCUACUUCAGCAUCAGCACAUGCCAGCGAUGGUGCACACAGGUGGAGAGCGGCCUGCCCGUCUUUUCCAUGGUGCCCACAGACCCAUUUAGGAUGAAAGAUCAGAAAAUUCUCUCCAUGUCACCGCUUCUGAAACAUGUGAAUAUUAAUAUUUGGUGCCUAAAAGGCCAUGGCAAAUUUUCA
ensembl:lncRNA TNPO1-DT TNPO1 divergent transcript